CAUUUUGCUCUCGUGGAUCUCUCCCAGUCGUGACUUCAAUUUCUCGUAGUUCAUCAUAAUCCUGGGGAAAUUUUUCACUGACUGGAGAAAUUCGAGGCCAGCUUGGGGCUCACCGUCCCGGGGGCCAGGGUUUCUCUGAACCCUCAUUUAGGUGACCCUGCUCCCAGAGGAACAAGGACCUUGCCAAAAAUGCCAGCUGUGGAUGAAGGGAGGACCGCUGCCUGCCCUGGAGGUGCCACUGGUUAGACAGUGAAGACCUAGAUGAACUGCUGCUCUUAUCAACCCAUGAGAUUCCAGAGGUUUAGCUCGGCGCUCACUACCUGAAAAGGUGCACGUCACCACACCCUCGUGGAUCAAUGCCGGAACCACCCGAAGGAAGGGCCGGGAGCCGAGGGAAGAGACAGACACGAGCCGCUCGAGGGAUCUGCCGGGCUUACCGUUCAAUUUCCUUUUCGUUCCCCUCGCGACGAAAUCGCUCGAUGUAUUCUUUGCUGUACCGUUCUUGGGUGUGGCACUGCUCUUCAAAUAUUUUAAUUGUUUCAUUAAAAGCUUCGAUUGCCGUC